rnacentral:rRNA from 1 species
GUGAGCUUGCUCACGGAUUCAGCGGCGGACGGGUGAGUAAUGCCUAGGAAUCUGCCUGGUAGUGGGGGACAACGUUUCGAAAGGAACGCUCAUACCGCAUACGUCCUACGGGAGAAAGCAGGGGACCUUCGGGCCUUGCGCUAUCAGAUGAGCCUAGGUCGGAUUAGCUAGUUGGUGAGGUAAUGGCUCACCAAGGCUACGAUCCGUAACUGGUCUGAGAGGAUGAUCAGUCACACUGGAACUGAGACACGGUCCAGACUCCUACGGGAGGCAGCAGUGGGGAAUAUUGGACAAUGGGCGAAAGCCUGAUCCGGCCAUGCCGCGUGUGUGAAGAAGGUCUUCGGAUUGUAAAGCACUUUAASUUGGGAGGAAGGGUUGUAGAUUAAUACUCUGCAAUUUUGACGUUACCGACAGAAUAAGCACCGGCUAACUCUGUGCCAGCAGCCGCGGUAAUACAGAGGGUGCAAGCGUUAAUCGGAAUUACUGGGCGUAAAGCGCGCGUAGGUGGUUCGUUAAGUUGGAUGUGAAAUCCCCGGGCUCAACCUGGGAACUGCAUCCAAAACUGGCAAGCUAGAGUAUGGUAGAGGGUGGUGGAAUUUCCUGUGUACCGGUGAAAUGCGUAAAUAUAGGAAGGAACACCAGUGGCGAAGGCGACCACCUGGACUGAUACUGACACUGAGGUGCGAAAGCGUGAGGAGCAAACAGGAUUAGAUACCCUGGUAGUCCACGCCCUAAACGAUGUCAACUAGCCUUUGGGAGCCUUGAGCUCUUAGUGGCGCAGCUAACGCAUUAAGUUGACCGC